GACGAACGCUGGCGGCGUGCUUAACACAUGCAAGUCGAGCGGAAAGGCCCCUUUGGGGUACUCGAGCGGCGAACGGGUGAGUAUCACGUGAGUAAUCUGCCCUUCACUUCGGGAUAGCUUCGGGAAACCGAGAUUAAUACCGGAUACGACCACUCCAGGCAUCUGGUGGUGGUGGAAAGAUUUUUUGGUGGGGGAUGUGCUCGCGGCCUAUCAGCUUGUUGGUGGGGUAAUGGCCUACCAAGGCUUCGACGGGUAGCCGGCCUGAGAGGGUGACCGGCCACACUGGGACUGAGACACGGCCCAGACUCCUACGGGAGGCAGCAGUGGGGAAUAUUGGACAAUGGGCGGAAGCCUGAUCCAGCAACGCCGCGUGAGGGAUGACGGCCUUCGGGUUGUAAACCUCUUUCACCACCGACGAAGCGCAAGUGACGGUAGGUGGGGAAGAAGCACCGGCCAACUACGUGCCAGCAGCCGCCGCAGUAA
rnacentral:rRNA from 1 species